AUUUAAGAAAAAAACAAAAAAAUAUUCAUAUUAAUUUAUUUAUUACGAACGGAAAUGCGGCAGAAAAUUGUUUUGAAAAUUGUGCACCAAAUAUUUGCUGCCUAACAACAAAAGUUUCCUCAACUUAACUGUUUUUUAAUUUAUUAUUUAAGUUUAGUUCACAUUAAAACAAAAAUACAUAAACAAGAUAAAUAUCGCCCAAGGCCGGCAAACAAAAUACACAAAAAGUCGAAAUAAAAACAAAAAUUAUUACAGUGCACAAAGUGUGUGCCUACAUGAGUGUGUGUGUGUGUGUGCGAACGUAUGUGUGUGUGUAUUUGACAAGUGAUUGAAGGUCUCCAAUGUCACUGUGAAAAUGUCUCCACACAGCAAAAACGUUCACAAAAUCGAAAAAAGGCGAAUGCAACAUUGCCACAUGCAACAAAAUGCAAUUUUUGAACAUUUAACUAACUAAAACAAAGUUGCGAAAAUCCAAUUCAAAAAUAAACAACAACAAAAUAUUUCAAAAAUGAACUGAAAAGUAAAAUUUAAAACCUAAACAAACUUUAAGCAAAUGCAAAAUUGGCAAAUUAUAGAUUUGGGCUAAAAAGAAGAAAAAAAAAUUAAAAACAAAAAAAAACUUUUUUGAAAAAAAA